GAAGUAAAAAGUCGUAACAAGGUUUCCGUAGGUGAACCUGCGGAAGGAUCAUUAUUGAAUUUUAAUGAAGGGAAUUUGGUUGUAGCUGGCUCAUAUUAUCUGGGCAUGUGCACACCUUUCUCUUUCAUCCACACACACCUGUGCACCUGUGAGGCAGAUGGGGGAGGAAAUUCACUGAUUGUUCUUGAAGAAUAAUGGGUGUUGGGAAAACCCCCCUCUGUCUACUCAAUCUAUAUAAACCCAAUAUUUUUAAAAAUGAAUGUAAUGGAUGUAACACAUCUAAUACUAAGUUUCAACAACGGAUCUCUUGGCUCUCGCAUCGAUGAAGAACGCAGCGAAAUGCGAUAAGUAAUGUGAAUUGCAGAAUUCAGUGAAUCAUCGAAUCUUUGAACGCACCUUGCGCUCCUUGGUAUUCCUUGGAGCAUGCCUGUUUGAGUAUCAUGAAAUCUUCAAAGUAAAUCUUUUUGUUAACUCAAUUGGGUUUUGCUUUGGUUAUUGGAGGUCUUUGCAGCUUCACACCUGCUCCUCUUUGUGUAUUAGCUGGAUCUCAGUGUUAUGCUUGGUUCCACUCGGCGUGAUAAGUUAUCUAUCGCUGAGGACACUGUCAAAGGUGGCCAAGGGAAAUGCAGAUGAACCGCUUCCAAUAGUCCAUUGACUUGGACAGUAAUUUUUAUGAUUUGAUCUCAAAUCAGGUAGGACUACCCGCUGAACUUAAGCAUAUCAAUAA
rnacentral:rRNA from 1 species